UUAUUUUUGAGUUUUCUAGCAUUCCUGGGGAUAUAUGUGAGUUCAAAUUGCCUCUAUCAAUUUGUUCGGUGCAAUUGAUUGGGAACUAAGGUGUGAUUAAUUUGAGUUCACGGCGACAUAUCUUUGUAUGUUCUUUGAUUAGAAGCAAAAAAUUUUGCUGAUUCUGGGGGUUUUACUAAUUUUGAAUCAAUUGGAAACCUUACAAAUAGUGAGUAAUGUUCAAGCGGAAUUAAGAUCCAAGGAUACAGUGCUAUUGUGAACUCUGAUAAGGAUCGCAAGCUAGGAUGAAUUACACCUUGGCUUGGACCUGACAGACUUUUGGUAGAAUAUGUAAAUGUUGCUUUUGUGUAUGAAUUUGGACUGCCUUGAUGAAUAGAAGCUUGAUGCCAUUUAAAUAGAAUUCUUGAUUUGUAUUGAAUGGAUCCAUUAGGCUAACUGCAUAUAGGAUUUGGAGUGAUCUUUACACGUACUAUUCUGAUCUAAUAUUUUUCCAUCUAGGAUUCAAGCUCAUCUGUGAAGAACAUUCUUCUUCUAGACUCUGAAGGGAAGCAUGUUACUCUCAUAAUUGGCCAACAAUUGCUGCAAAUCUAGCUUGAACAAUCUGUGUUCACUAAGACUCUAAUGACAAAUGCAUGGAUAGAAGAGGUUAUGAUGUUCGUGUGCAACGUUGUUAUAUAUAAGUUUGUUCAGGACCUUCACUUCUUUGUGACCGGAGGUGAUGAUGAAAAUGAACUCAUUUAGCCACUGUACUUCAGGGAUUCUUUGAUGAGUUCCCCUUCUCUUGAGAUUUGUCAUUAAUCAAUCUGUCAGCCAGAGUUUCAAAUUGAAUUGAAGUUUGCAGAGGCUUUAGAAUUUCAUCAUCCACUGUUGAGCUUGAACCAGACCAAGCAUUACCCAUGUGACUACGUUCAUCAUCUUGGCUGGAAGGUUGAAAGACGGCGGGUUAUCUUUUUGAAGUGGAUUUCUUCUGGCUUACUUUUGAUCACUGCUACAGCUUGAUUGAUUGUUAUAAAUUGCAGACCACGAUCCAGUUAGAAAUCUGGAAUAGUGGGUUUCAUACCUUGGUUUUGGAUAAGGAAUGUCGAAGUACAAAGAGCCAAUGGAACAGAUGAGUUUUGCAGGCAAUGGAAGUCUCACUUUAUAUAUAAAGACUAAAGCCAAAGCAGCAACCAAGGCCUAUCCAUUUCCAGUGUUAUCACAGGAAUAUGGCUUUUUCCCCCGCAGCAUCGCGCGGGCUACUUUCCUAGUAUAAAUU